rnacentral:rRNA from 1 species
AUUGAACGCUGGCGGCACGCCUAACACAUGCAAGUCGAGCGGUAGCAUGGCUAGUAGCAAUACUAGCUGAUGACGAGCGGCGGACGGGUGAGGAACACGUAGGAACCUGCCCUUUAGCGGGGGACAACCAAGGGAAACUUUGGCUAAUACCGCGUAAUCUCGAAAGAGGAAAGCUGCCAGCAAUGGUGGCGCUAAAGGAGGGGCCUGCGUCCGAUUAGUUAGUUGGUGAGGUAAAGGCUCACCAAGACUGUGAUCGGUAACUGGUAUUAGAGGACGGCCAGUCACACUGGGACUGAGACACGGCCCAGACUCCUACGGGAGGCAGCAGUGGGGAAUCUUGGACAAUGGGGGCAACCCUGAUCCAGCGAUGCCGCGUGAGUGAAGAAGGCCUUCGGGUCGUAAAGCUCUUUAGGCUGGGAAGAAGUUUGUUAGUUUAAGAGAUAAACAAAUUGACUGUACCGGCAGAAUAAGCACCGGCAAACUCUGUGCCAGCCGCCGCCGUAA